rnacentral:SRP_RNA from 1 species
GGGAGGCCGGCGGCGGGCGGACCCGUCGCCAACCCGGUCAGGUCCGGAAGGAAGCAGCCGUAACGAUUUCCGGUUCGGGUCGCCGUCCGGCCUCCCACC